rnacentral:rRNA from 1 species
UGAGGAAUAUUGGUCAAUGGGCGCAAGCCUGAACCAGCCAUCCCGCGUGCAGGAAGAAGGCGCUAUGCGUCGUAAACUGCUUUUCCAGGGGAAGGAAACCCUCGACGUGUCGAGGCUUGCCGGUACCUUGGGAAUAAGCAUCGGCUAACUCCGUGCCAGCAGCCGCGGUAAUACGGAGGAUGCGAGCGUUAUCCGGAUUUAUUGGGUUUAAAGGGUGCGUAGGCGGAUUAAUAAGUCAGCGGUGAAAACCUUCAGCUUAACUGGAGAAUUGCCAUUGAUACUGUUAGUCUUGAGUACGGUCAAGGUAGGCGGAAUGUGUAAUGUAGCGGUGAAAUGCUUAGAUAUUACACAGAACACCGAUUGCGAAGGCAGCUUACUGGACCAUUACUGACGCUGAGGCACGAAAGCGUGGGGAGCGAACA